rnacentral:rRNA from 1 species
AUUGAACGCUGGCGGCAUGCCUUACACAUGCAAGUCGAACGGUAACAGGUUAAGCUGACGAGUGGCGAACGGGUGAGUAAUAUAUCGGAACGUGCCCAGUCGUGGGGGAUAACUGCUCGAAAGAAGCAGCUAAUACCGCAUACGACCUGAGGGUGGAAAGACGGGGGAGUCGCAAGACCUCGCGCGAUUGGAGCGGCCGAUAUCAGAUUAGGUAGUUGGUGGGGUAAA